rnacentral:RNase_P_RNA from 1 species
GACAAUCGCCGGCAGCAAGGGGAAACCCGCUGCGGGAGGAAAGUCCGGGCUCCAUAGGGCAGGAUGCUGGAUAACGUCCAGUCAGCGCGAGCUGAAGGAUAGUGCCACAGAAAUGGACCGCCGAUGGCCGCUAGCGCACAGGCAAGGGUGGAACCGUGGUGUAAGAGACCACGAGGAGAUAAGGUGACUUAUGUCCUGGUAAACCCCAUCUGGAGCAAGACCGAAGAGGGACGCAGGAAAGCCUAGAGCUUUCAGCCUUAGCCCGAGGCGCGUCCGGGUUGGUCGCAGGAGCCGUUCAGCAAUGGACGGCCUAGAUAGAUGAUUGUCACUUCAUGGUGGGAGGAAGAGAUUCCGCUUGGACCACUGGAAGAACAGAACCCGGCUUAUGG